CCUACGGGAGGCUGCAGUGGGGAAUAUUGGACAAUGGGGGGAACCCUGAUCCAGCCAUGCCGCGUGUGUGAAGAAGGCCCUCGGGUUGUAAAGCACUUUCAGUGAGGAAGAACGCCUGGUGGUUAAUACCCAUCAGGAAAGACAUCACUCACAGAAGAAGCACCGGCUAACUCCGUGCCAGCAGCCGCGGUAAUACGGAGGGUGCGAGCGUUAAUCGGAAUUACUGGGCGUAAAGCGCGCAUAGGUGGCUUGAUAAGCCGGUUGUGAAAGCCCCGGGCUCAACCUGGGAACGGCAUCCGGAACUGUCAAGCUAGAGUGCAGGAGAGGAAGGUAGAAUUCCCGGUGUAGCGGUGAAAUGCGUAGAGAUCGGGAGGAAUACCAGUGGCGAAGGCGGCCUUCUGGACUGACACUGACUCUGAGGUGCGAAAGCGUGGGUAGCAAACAGGAUUAGAUACCCGAGUAGUC
rnacentral:rRNA from 1 species